UACCAGCUCUCCGAGUUGUAGGGAUGAUUAUUGGGCUUAAAGCGUCCGUAGCUGGCUUAGCAAGUCUCCUGUUAAAUUCAGCGACCUAAUCGUUGAGCCGCGGGAGAUACUACUAGGCUAGGAGGCGGGAGAGGUCGACGGUACUUUCGGGGUAGGUGUGAAAUCCUAUAAUCCCGGGAGGACCACCAGUGGCGAAGGCUGUCGACUAGAACGCGCUCGACGGUGAGGGACGAAAGCUGGGGGAGCGAACCGGAUUAGAUACCCGGGUAGUCCCAGCUGUAAACUAUGCGGGCUAGGUGUUGGGGUGGCUACGGGCCACUUCAGUGCCGCAGGAAAGCCAUUAAGCCCGCCGCCUGGGGAGUACGGCCGCAAGGCUGAAACUUAAGGAAUUGGCGGGGGAGCACCACAAGGCGUGAAGCUUGCGGUUC
rnacentral:rRNA from 1 species